AGUUGUAGGAACAGCAGAGAUCACACAUCAGCUGCUGGGAAGAACUGGAUUUCAGGUCACCGUCAGAAAAGCUAAGUUUGCUGUACAGUAAGGAUCAGAUUGGAUCUUGAUUGCAGAACCAUCCCUGAUUACAGAAUCUUGGAUGAUUUCACAAAAGUUCAUCUUCUUUGCAGAACCUGCUUUCCUUUCUAGGUUGUGUCUCCUACUUCAUCCUUCGAGACCAUCCCAGAAGAUCUAUAAGAGUCCAUCUGGGAAAUCACUAGGCGUUCUUGGAAGGUAAAGAAGUAGGAUUGUUGGCUGGAAUAAAAACAGGGUUGAAUGAGUUCCAGAAAGCAGGGUUCUCUAACUCAUGGACAGCAAUUUGUGGAAGAAAACAACUUCAAAAAAACCAACUAGAAGCAACACUCAGAGAAGUAAGAUGAGAGGGGCCUGUUCAGGAAAGAAGACAGCUGGUCCACUGCAGAAGAAUCUUGAACCAGAUCUCUCAGGAUGAUGGUGGGGGGUCGCUCAGCAGAGAACCUCCCUUCAGGAUCCAUGAGGAAGACAAGAAAAAACAAACAGAAGACUCCUGGAAAUGGAGAUGGUGGCAGUGUCAGCGAAGCACUUCAGCCCCCUGGGAAGAAAAGGGCCCAUGUGGACCAUACUGUUGAAAGUGAAGUGGUGUUUAAGAACAGGAUGGAAGUUAAAGUGAAGAUUCUUGAAGAAUUAAAACCAUGGCUUGUUGAGGACUGGGACUUAGUUACCAGGCAAGAGCAGCUCUUUCAACUCCUAAGAAAAACAUAUGCCAUUCUGGAAGAGUAUGUGAAUUGCAAGAAAUCACAGGGAAACAUCGAUAGUAAGGAAUAUGCAGUUAAUGAAAUUGUGGCAGGAAUAAAAGAAUAUUUCAACGUGAUGUUGGGCACUCAGCUGCUUGACAAAUUUGAGAGGCUCCAGUACACUGCAAUCCUCUCAGCUCACCCUGCUGCACCAACGCCGUAGGUUUACAGAGCGCCACACCUACUGAGAUUAUUUGUAGGAAUCGGAGCAAUGUUGGCAUAUACACCCCUUGAUGAGAAGAGCCUUGUGUUAUUGUUGGGCUCUUUGCAUGAUUUGCAAAAAUAUCUGACAAAGAAUUCCACAAGCAUUGCAAGCUUUUUUUCUCAUUUCAAAGUUGCUGCCAGUGUAUGCAGUAAUUCGACAAAGAAUAAACAUUCUGUAAAACAUUUUGUUGCCUAGCCUAGUUGACCACAUUGCUCGGAUGCUGGUGGUUCUAUCCCUUUGGCACUACACAAUUUUAUAUAUGUGUUAAUGCUACUGAUUUAAUGCCCUGAUUAAUCAUGUUAAU